rnacentral:lncRNA from 1 species
AUCUGAUUUUUCUUUGAUGUAGUUGAACACCCAAUAUAUGACAUAGUUUAUCAGUUGACUUAAUUAAUUAAUUAAUUAAUUAAUUUUUGGAUAGAAGCAAGUUCUUCCUUGACAUUGAAGAUAGGUAUAUUACUUCCUCAAAAGAACUCUUUAAACCCCCGAGGCUCAGCACAACCUGGUAAUAAAAGCUGUGAAGUGAAGUGAAAGUAAGUUAAGGUGCUUUGGAUGACUAGCGUGUUUCCAGAGUGAAUUAUGCUCACAAACCAAGCAGCCCUUAGAGGAUGCAAGCUGUGUUUCUCAUCACCAAGGAACAGGGACCACCCAUCACUGCCUCUGAGAGGCACAAGGUACCCAGACUUCCAGCUCCUGGAUACCAGGACCUGGACUUACUCCUUUCAAUCUGAGCCAAUGAAUUCCCUGCACACAGGAGUUCAAGAAUUCUGUUUCAGGUUGAAGGAUUGCCCUAUGUGGUUUCUGCAUGGACUCAGUGGGCCCAAUUAGAAUCACAACUUGUUAAUAAAGAUAAACUCAGCAUCAAGAUCCCUGCUGUGGGAAAGACCAAGGAGCUGUCUGAGGUCAGGAUGCAGGUAGACAGUGGAAAUGCUGCAGACCAAGGUCCCAAAGGAAGCAGAAACAGAUCAGAAGAGCAGCACACCAUCUGGGCCACAUGAAACUUCACAUCAGGAAGCCAUGGCUACCUGCCCACUUCAUUUUGCCACAGGUUCCUCUAUUUUUAUGACUCCAUCAUAAAAAAAAAUAGAAUAAUUCCCAAAAAUAAAACAAUGUGCAUAA